AAUACUUUGUACACCAAUAGAGAAAAAUGCCAAAGGACCGUACGACAAUAUAAUAUACUCAUAUUAUUUCAGACAGAUACCCAAAGGAUCAAAGAGGCUUACCUCGAAUUUUUUUGGCGAUUGGGCUCCUUCUUCAGCUGGCUUCUGAAUUUGUUUCUUUCUUUGGCAAUUCCUGAUUUGAAGCAUGAGCUCCUUUUUAUUGUAUUGAGUUUCUAGUGCAGAUACAGACCUUGGUGCUCAACCUUACACGGACGAGCUAGUUGAUCAAAUUAUUGAGGGUAUUGAAUCUAUAAAAGAGGAGCAUCGUAAUUUCAUAAAGUUUCUUCACAAAGAUUGUCGGAAAAAAUCACAAGACAGUAACGACGAAGACAAGAUGUCUAAAAAACAAAGUGAUCAAAAUACCCAAAGCUAGUGAUGCUAUGGCUAAAGCCAAACUGACAACAGCUAAGAGGCCAAAGACAGGCGGGUCCAAACAAGUUUUCGAGAUUAAUUUUUCUGAUAUUCCGCUGACCCAAUCUUCUUUGGGUACAUGUACUACUAUCAAGAGGAAAGUUGACUUUCUUGACCCAGAGGUCCCUGAUGAGACUGUCCUUCGAAUUCCUCAUACUGUGUCGAUUUACUCAAACCCUGCAUCGAUUGAAGGACAUGUAGGUAGACUCCUUCAUCCUGCUAAUCGAGAAUGACUGAAUGAUCUUGGUCGAGUUGGGGCUGCCAACUAUGGAGUAGCUGAGGCUUACAAGGCAAGGAUGUUGUUUAUUGCCUUAUUAUUGUGUUUAGUCAUUUUAGCUUUUUUUAAACUUGGUUGUAAUGUAUGUAGAUUCUUCAAGCCAUGAUUUACAUUCGAGAAGAUUAUCCUGUCUUGGAGAAGAAGAACAUAAUUUUGACUAAUAAUAAUGCUUCCUUGAAGCUGGAGAUUGAGAAGCAUGUAGAGAAAGAGCGCCAAUCUGAGAUCUUAUUAAACCUCUAAAGGAUGAGCUUGAGAAGGUGAAGCGAUAGCUGAAUAAUGAGAAGAAAAAGGCAGAGGACCUUGCCUCUGAUUUUGACUAGGUUGCUUUGAUUGCUUUUGUCAAGACUCGUGGAGAACUAAUGAUCGAGUACAAGGAAGGAAAGUAUGUUGACUGGGAUGUGGAUAGUGAGAUAGAAACUUACUGUGCCCACAUGGGUUUGGAUGUUGAUGGUGAAGGAGCUGAACAACUUGAAGAUUGUGAAUAUCGAAGAAGCAGCUGCUGAGAUCCUUGAUCUCGGUACUACAAAGGACCGUGAAGAACCUCAUACAAAUGCUUAGUUUCGCUUCAUAUUUUGCUUAGUGGUUCAUGUAUCUGGGUAUUUUGAUUAUUGACAUUUUCCUUGCACAUGCCCCCUUUUUGAAUUCAUCUUUUGUACUAUUUGCCUAAUAGGAUUCGAUGACUGCUAGAAGAAAUAUUUGUCUAUUUAUGGUGUUCUAAAUGAGUGUUAAAAUUUCUCCUUACAUUUUUGAAUUUGAG